GCCGGGCGUGGUGCCGCACGCCUGUAAUCCCAGCUACUUGGGAGGCUGAGGCAGAAGAAUCGCUUGAACCUGGGAGGUGGAGGUUGCAGUGAGCCAAGAUCGUGCCACUGCACUCCAGCCUGGCAACAGAGCAAGAUUCUGUCUCAA
ensembl:misc_RNA Metazoa_SRP Metazoan signal recognition particle RNA